GAUGAACGCUGACAGAAUGCUUAACACAUGCAAGUCUUUGGCGAAGCUGUGCUCGCACAGCCUAGCCAAGGCGGACGGGUGAGUAACGCGUAAGGAACUUGCCCUGCAGUCAGGGAUAACAGACGGAAACGACUGAUAAGACCUGGUAAAGUCAGGCGGACUCAUGUCCAGCCUGAUGAAAAGAGAUGCUGCAGGAGAGCCUUGCGUCCUAUUAGCUUGUUGGUGGGGUAACGGCCCACCAAGGCGAUGAUAGGUAGCCGGCCUGAGAGGGUGGACGGCCACAAGGGGACUGAGGUACGGCCCUUACUCCUACGGGAGGCAGCAGUGGGGAAUAGUGGACAAUGGGGGCAACCCUGAUCCAGCAAUUCUGUGUGCACGAUGAAGGUUUUCGGAUUGUAAAGUGCUUUCAGCAGGGAAGAAAAAAAUGACGGUACCUGCAGAAGAAGCGACGGCUAAAUACGUG
rnacentral:rRNA from 1 species